rnacentral:rRNA from 1 species
AGUGAACGCUGGCGGUAGGCCUAACACAUGCAAGUCGAACGGCAGCACAAGAGAGCUUGCUCUCUGGGUGGCGAGUGGCGGACGGGUGAGGAAUACAUCGGAAUCUACUCUGUCGUGGGGGAUAACGUAGGGAAACUUACGCUAAUACCGCAUACGACCUACGGGUGAAAGCAGGGGACCUUCGGGCCUUGCGCGAUUGAAUGAGCCGAUGUCGGAUUAGCUAGUUGGCGGGGUAAAGGCCCACCAAGGCGACGAUCCGUAGCGGGUCUGAGAGGAUGAUCAGCCACACUGGAACUGAGACACGGUCCAGACUCCUACGGGAGGCAGCAGUGGGGAAUAUUGGACAAUGGGCGCAAGCCUGAUCCAGCCAUACCGCGUGGGUGAAGAAGGCCUUCGGGUUGUAAAGCCCUUUUGUUGGGAAAGAAAUCCAGCUGGUUAAUACCCGGUUGGGAUGACGGUACCCAAAGAAUAAGCACCGGCUAACUUCGUGCCAGCCGCCGCAGUAA